CAGCUCUGAAAGAAAAGGUCAAAACAUUCGGUUCGCUACUGAGUCACACACAUCCAAGCAAAAGCACACCUUUACAUGUUGAGGCUGACUGAUACACUUUAAACCCAGAAUUGCAUUUACACCGAAAUGCUACCUUCCAUCAAGGAGGUUUUUGAUCGAGUAGGUGAAACUGGAGUUUUCACUUUACUUCUGAGUAGGGAAUUCAGUAAACAAGGCUCAUGUUUGAUCCCACUGACCCAUGCGGCCUUUCCAAAUAUGCCUUGGGCAUCACAGCUCUGUAAUUAGAGCCUUAUGUUACUGCAUUAUAGAUCUGUUCUGUUGACAGCACAACCACUCCCCAGAUUUUACUACAGGAAAUCCGCAGGCUUACAUCACAAUUAGUUGUGAAAGCUGCAUCUUAAGUCAAAAUCCGAACCAGACCCAAUUGUUUUAGACAGGAACGAUGUUAUAAAUGAAGGGGAUUGGUUCCUAAGCCAGGGUUGGAAGAUCUAUUUUUUCCAAAAUUACUUAAUUGUAUAAUCAAUUUUCGACGGUAACACAGUUAUAUUAAUGUAUGUAUUCUGAGUCAGGCUUCACAACUGAGUGAACAGAUUUCUCCUCCUUUGCUGGUGACUUCUCCUGGCUACCAGGCUCCUGUGGGGCUCCUCCCCAUUCUGGGGCCCCAGACCAAGUGCCAGAAAGAGAGAACUGUGACCUCGUGGAAAACAGCAAAAAAAUUGUAUUGGUUUUAAUUUAGAACAUCCAAGAGCGAGUACCGCACCGAAAUCUGAUGGAAUCGUCGAGAUACAAACGUCAAAAAAUUGAAAAGUAUUUUUAAGGUGUCGGGAAAAAAUGGCUCUAGAACGCCGCAGAAGCUGGAUUUCGCCUGGGGAGUCUUGGACAACUGGAGCCCGCUGAGUCGGGCCGCUUCAAGUCUUCGGACAACCCUCAGGCCUCCUCGCAGCCCCCUCUCCCAGUUGGGGGGAGUUCAGGCUGUUGGGGGCUGGAGGAAAAUGGCUGAGGCGCUGCCGGGUCUGGGUGGAAGGACACGAUCGUCCCAAGCCGCUGGACCUCGGGACCUCAGCAGCAACACCACCGGUCAGUAGCCGGACGGCUCCGCGCUCAUGGAAACCGGACAGGACCCAGACUUGGGCCUACAGCGGACUCACCUCUGCCCAGGCCUCAAACGGUAAAAUGCUCUCUCCUUGAAAACCUGG